rnacentral:rRNA from 1 species
UACGUAGGGUCCGAGCGUUGUCCGGAAUUAUUGGGCGUAAAGGGCUCGUAGGCGGUUCGUCACGUCGGGGAGUGAAAACUCGGGGCUUAACCCCGAGCCUGCUUCCGAUACGGGCAGACUAGAGGUAGGCAGGGGAGAGCGGAACUCCUGGUGUAGCGGUGGAAUGCGCAGAUAUCAGGAAGAACACCGGUGGCGAAGGCG